GAUGAACGCUGGCGGCGUGCCUAAUACAUGCAAGUCGAGCGAACAGACGAGGAGCUUGCUCCUCUGACGUUAGCGGCGGACGGGUGAGUAACACGUGGAUAACCUACCUAUAAGACUGGGAUCACUUCGGGAAACCGGCGCUAAUACCGGAUAAUAUAUUGAACCGCAUGGUUCAAUAGUGAAAGACGGUUUUGCUGUCACUUAUAGAUGGAUCCGCGCCGCUUUAGCUAGUUGGUAAGGUAACGGCUUACCAAGGCAACGAUGCGUAGCCGACCUGAGAGGGUGAUCGGCCACACUGGAACUGAGACACGGUCCAGACUCCUACGGGAGGCAGCAGUAGGGAAUCUUCCGCAAUGGGCGAAAGCCUGACGGAGCAACGCCGCGUGAGUGAUGAAGGUCUUCGGAUCGUAAAACUCUGUUAUUAGGGAAGAACAAAUGUGUAAGUAACUAUGCACGUCUUGACGGUACCUAAUCAGAAAGCCACGGCUAACUACGUG
rnacentral:rRNA from 1 species